UCAUGAGAGGAUAUGAGUAUGUUUUGUGUAGUCAAUAUAAUUCAAUGUUAAACUGUAUAAUAAUAAUGAGAUAUAAACAUUGUAAGCCAUUGUAUUGAUGCUGCACAUGUUAUUUGUUUUAAUGUAGGUAAAGCGUGACAGAUCCUUGUGGCAAUAAAUCAGGAAAGUAUUCCUUCAGACAACUGGACAUCGACUGUUGGAAAGAGACUUUUCAUCUGAUCUGCAAACUGUGAUGGAAGAUUCUACAGAGUUCAUUCGAUACAGAAGAUUAACAGACUUACAAAGAAAUAAAAGAUUG